UACGUAGGGUGCAAGCGUUGUCCGGAAUUAUUGGGCGUAAAGAGCUCGUAGGCGGUUCGUCGCGUCGGCUGUGAAAACCCGAGGCUCAACCUCGGGCCUGCAGUCGAUACGGGCGGACUGGAGUUCGGCAGGGGAGACUGGAAUUCCUGGUGUAGCGGUGAAAUGCGCAGAUAUCAGGAGGAACACCGAUGGCGAAGGCGACUCUCUGGACGGUAACUGACGCUGAGGCACGAAAGCGUGGGGAGCAAACAGGG
rnacentral:rRNA from 1 species